AUACGUAGGAUCCGAGCGUUGUCCGGAUUUACUGGGCGUAAAGGGUGCGUAGGCGGCUUGUUAAGUCUCAUGUGAAAUCUCCCGGCUUAACUGGGAGGGGUCAUGGGAUACUGGCAGGCUUGAGGUCAGUAGAGGAGAGCGGAAUUCCCGGAGUAGCGGUGAUAUGCGUAGAUACCGGGAGGAACACCAGAGGCGAAGGCGGCUCUCUGGGCUGCACCUGACGCUGAUGCACGAAAGCGUGGGGAGCGAACCGGAUUAGAAACCCCGGUAGUCC
rnacentral:rRNA from 1 species